ACAUUUAAUUUAGCAUUUUUAUUAUUAACGUAUCCCCUUAAAUCCAUAAAAGUGUUCUCAGUUUAGAAAUCAGUGAAACCUUUUGAGUUUUAACGUUUAGAAUGUUGACAGUCGAUGAUUCGUCGUGUAAAAUGAGAUUUGAGCUGCAGACUGUCUUGAACAUUUCGGGAGAUGUGCGGAAUGUGUUGACAAUUAGUGCAAAGCCUCGAAACCCCUUUUAUUUGUGUUUUAAAGCAUCAAAACGUUGAAAUGUAACUUUGUAAUUACCGAAAAAAGAUGGCGCCUGAACCAUUUUUAUAGAAUUCUCAAAUAUACUCUGUAAAAUGCAUAAACUCGGCACCAUGGUAACCAUAUGAAACGCGCGGGCGUCACCUGACCUGAGCUGCGCGUGACCCGGAGCUGCUCUGUUGUGAGCGUUGAAACGGGCCUUAUUGUACACACGUCUGCUCCUUUUACUUUAUCAUAUUGAAGUGAUUUAUUUAACAUGACAUGCUCUGCGCUCGUUGUCGCGGUGCUUUGUUUGUUAAGUUAACUGAUGGGAGUGCACGAGCGCGCGCUGCCUCCAGCGUCUCCUGCACGCGCUCUGAGAUGCACCUCGUGAAGUGGAGGAUAAUGAGUUAUGAAGGAAAGAGGUUACUGUGGUCGUGUUGGGUUGAUAUCGCCAUGUUUCACGGUGCGUCAUGACGCGCGUGGUUUAACCAACCCCGGAUCACAGAAACCACGUCCCCCAGAACUAAAACGUAAUUUACAGUCACGUUUGACUGAAACGUAUUUAUCUCCAGAUUACGUUUGUAUUUGACGUACAAAUACGUCUCUAAUCAACGUAUCUUUGCGGUUUGUUAUCUCUCUUUUCUACAAUGCUGUUUUGAAUUGGAAAACGCGUCCUCUAGUCUUAUUUAUUAUUUUAUAUGUUUCGCCUGCGUAUUAUGACGCAAUAGGCAUUGUAACGGAACCCUGAAGACUGGUGACGCUCCUUUAUUUUCUUUCUUUAGGUGACAAUACAUUAAUUAAAACUCGUAAACUCUCACCACCUUAAGAGAGUUAGCCGCAUACAGGUCCAAUCAACUAUUCAACUUUUUAUCAAAUGCAUCUGUCCGUGAGAUCUGUGGAUACCAUAACGUUCGCAUGGACCUGUUUUUGGGGCCCUUAUCUCAGAGCUAUCGGUCCCAAACUUUAGGGUAUUCAUAUUCAGAUGCCCCUCUUUGAAUUUGAAAAUGAUCCAGAUAUUUAAGUUGUGGGCACGCAAGCAAGACGCACGCAUUGCCAUGGUAACGACCUGGCCGAGGCUAUAUAAACCGCCUCGGCCCCUUUGCACUUUGACCUCAACCCGAGCUUGAAGCCUCUUGUUGACCAGAGCUGUGAAGCUAACUCCUCGAGCUGUUGACCGCUAACUGAAAGUUAUCCUUGAAUCUCCUUCUAGCUCCUGACUUCCUGUUUCGUGGACCACCGAGAAGCCGGAGAAUGGUGGACCACUCGUACGCGCGGCCCGGAGCUGGUGCCGACGACGUUGGAGCUCCCUAGCCCCCGCCCCCGGGAGGUAACGUUGCACAAUAUCAGUUUAACAAUGCGUAUGUGGGUUUGGUGGGUGUCUUGGGCCUUUUGCCACCAGACGAGGCCCGGCUGAGACUCAUCCGACUCCGACUCGGCCGACUCGUGCGAAUGAGGCUCCGACAGCGCCGACGCGGACCGGGCCGCAGGUAAGUUAUCAGGUAAGUAAUACACUUGUCCCUGUAAACUUACACUGUUUAAAGUACUGUUAUUGGUUUGUAUGUGCACUUUAUUUUAUAUUCUACUGUAAAUGUAAUAUGUUACAAUUCUUGCACUUUGUUGAUUGUUGAUUGUUUAAUGUUAUUGUCUUAUGUUGCACCACCCGCCAUGACACAUUCCUUGUAUGUGAAAAGAUACUUUGCAACAGACAGACCGAGGAAAAUUGAUAGAUAGAUAGAUAAAUAGAUAGAUAGACAGAUAGAUGGACAGAUAGAUAGAUAGAUAGAUAGAUAGAUAGACAGAUGGACGGAUAGAUAGAGCGAUGAACAGAUACUUUAUUCAUCCACAGGGGGAAAUUUGGUUGUAGAAGCAAGGUUACAGAGUAAACACACAAUAUAUACAAUAAAAUAGCAGAGAAGGAAAUAUUCAAUUUAAGAAAAUUAGAUGAUACAGAAAAUGCAAAGUCUAUAGAGUGUAUAUACAGUGAAAGGGUUAUUGAUGAGUUUAAGAAGGAUAAGGUCAGAGGUGAUUUAUUAUAGUCUUAUAGCAGUUGGCAGGACUGUUCUCCCGUGUCUGUCCUUUGGUCUUCCUGUCCUCUCACCCUCUCUUUAGCUGUGGAACGUCCUGAAGAAGCUCCGGCCCCAGAAACCAGAAGAGUCCACCAGGAGGAGCAGGAAGAGGAGGAGCCCGACUGCCCGGCAGGACUGCCUUCCCUCGCGCCUGGCGGGGGACUUCCAGGAUCUCCUUGACGACGAUGAAGAAGAAGAUGACGAGGGAGGACCACAUGAGAAGGAUGAAGGACUACAGGACCAGAUGAAGAGCGGCGGUUGCCUUUCCUUUAGUGGGCGGAGGCAGGACUCCUCUGUCUCUCCCAGCUGAGGGAGGACGUCAACCAACCCGUCACCCUCAGCUGACCACUACACAAGUACAAUCAGGACCCCACCCGUCCACCCAGACCCCCGACACCGCCCGCCCCGCCCACACAGGAAGCAGCUGUGAGAAGACGGACGCUUCAGCCUGAACAAGACAUAAUAAUUCUAAAAG